AUCAUAUACGGGUCUGGCAUCUUGGUGCAAUCUUGAAUUUAUUUCAUCCGGCGAUACCCUUACAACGCAAAUUUAUUUAUUUGUUGUCCAGGCAAAAGGAAAUUACUCGACUUGAGCAGGAAAAGGGCCCCUAUUUGCAUCUGCUGGGGCUAUUAGUUUUCCUAUUGACGAAAGAACAGCACAAGAAAAUUGGAAGAAGAUUAAGCGGCUUCAUUUGUUGCUUACCACAAAGGAUUCUGCCAUGGAUGUACCUUCCAACUUGGAGGCCAGAAGGCGCAUUUGCUUCUUCACCAAUUCUUGUUUAUGAAAAUGCCAGCUGCUCCUAAAGUUUGCAAUAUGCUUUCCUUUUCCGUUUUGACUCCUUACUACAAUGAGGAUGUCCUCUUCUCGUUGCAAAAAUUGAGAGGGAAAACGAAGAUG